AUACGUAGGGUGCGAGCGUUAAUCGGGAAUUACUGGGCGUAAAGCGUGCGCAGGCGGUUUUGUAAGACAGGUGUGAAAUCCCCGGGCUUAACCUGGGAACUGCGCUUGUGACUGCAAGACUAGAGUGCGGCAGAGGGGGGUGGAAUUCCACGUGUAGCAGUGAAAUGCGUAGAGAUGUGGAGGAACACCGAUGGCGAAGGCAGCCCCCUGGGUCGACACUGGCGCUCAUGCACGAAAGCGUGGGUAGC
rnacentral:rRNA from 1 species